UACGGGGGGAGCAAGCGUUGUUCGGAUUUACUGGGCGUAAAGGGCGCGUAGGCGGUCAGCACAAGUCAGUUGUGAAAUCUCCGGGCUUAACUCGGAAAGGUCAACUGAUACUGUGCGACUAGAGUGCGGAAGGGGCAACUGGAAUUCUCGGUGUAGCGGUGAAAUGCGUAGAUAUCGAGAGGAACACCUGCGGCGAAGGCGGGUUGCUGGGCCGACACUGACGCUGAGACGCGAAAGCGUGGGGAGCAAACAGG
rnacentral:rRNA from 1 species